rnacentral:rRNA from 1 species
UACAGAGGGUGCAAGCGUUAAUCGGAUUUACUGGGCGUAAAGCGUGCGUAGGCGGUUCAUUAAGUCGGUUGUGAAAUCCCUGGGCUUAACCUGGGAACUGCAGUCGAUACUGGUGAACUAGAAUGCGGUAGAGGGUGGCGGAACUCCGGGUGUAGCGGUGAAAUGCGUAGAUAUCCGGAAGAACACCGAUGGCGAAGGCAGGUCUCUGGGCUGAUACUGACGCUCAUGCACGAAAGCGUGGGGAGCAAACAGG